rnacentral:rRNA from 1 species
AUUGAACGCUGGCGGCAGGCCUAACACAUGCAAGUCGACCGAGUGGCGGACGGGCGAGUAAUGUCUGGGAAUCUGCCUGAUGGAGGGGGAUAACUACUGGAAACGGUAGCUAAUCCCGCAUACCAUCGGAUGUGCCCAGAUGGGAUUAGCUAGUCGGGGGGGUAACGUUUCACCUAGGCGACGAUCCCUAGCUGGGCUGGGAGGAUGACCAGCCACACUGGAACUGAGACACGGUCCAGACCCCUCCGGGAGGAAGCAGUGGGGAAUAUUGCACAAUGGGCGCAAGCCUGAUGCAGCCAUGCCGCGUGUAUGAAGAAGGCCUUCGGGUUGUAAAGUACUUUCAGCGGGGAGGCGUUACCCUCAGAAGAAGCACCGGCUAACUCCGUGCCAGCAGCCGCGGUAAUAC